AGGAUGAACGCUAGCGGCAGGCUUAACACAUGCAAGUCGAGGGCAGCGCGAGGUAGCAAUACUUGGCGGCGACCGGCGGAAGGGUGCGUAACGCGUGAGCAACUUGCCCGUAUCUGGGACAUAACCGGUGGAAACGCCGACUAAUUUCCCAUAACAACAGAGAUGACAUCUUCUUUGUUUGAAAGCUUCGGUGGAUACGGAUGGGCUCGCGUGACAUUAGCUAGUUGGAGUGGUAACGGCACACCAAGGCGACGAUGUCUAGGGGUUCUGAGAGGAAGGUCCCCCACACUGGAACUGAGACACGGUCCAGACUCCUACGGGAGGCAGCAGUGAGGAAUAUUGGUCAAUGGGCGGAAGCCUGAACCAGCCAUGCCGCGUGCAAGGAAUAAGGCCCUAUGGGUCGUAAACUGCUUUUGACGGGGAGCAAUAAGGGCUACGCGUAGCCCGAUGAGAGUACUCGUCGAAUAAGCAUCGGCUAACUCCGUGCCAGCCGCCGC
rnacentral:rRNA from 1 species